rnacentral:rRNA from 1 species
GACGCUGGCGGCGUGCUUAACACAUGCAAGUCGAACGGGAGGAAAAGAGAAGCUUGCUUCUUUUUGAAUCUAGUGGCAAACGGGUGAGUAACACGUAAACAACCUGCCUUCAGGAUGGGGACAACAGACGGAAACGACUGCUAAUACCGAAUGUGUUCCGGAGACCGCAUGAUUUCCGGAAGAAAGGAUGGCCUCUAUUUAUAAGCUAUCGCCUGAAGAGGGUUUGCGUCUGAUUAGGCAGUUGGUGAGGUAACGGCCCACCAAACCUACGAUCAGUAGCCGGUCUGAGAGGAUGAACGGCCACACUGGAACUGAGACACGGUCCAGACUCCUACGGGAGGCAGCAGUGGGGAAUCUUCCGCAAUGGACGAAAGUCUGACGGAGCAACGCCGCGUGAGUGAUGACGGCCUUCGGGUUGUAAAGCUCUGUGAUCGGGACGAAUGGCUGGUAUGCUAAUACCAUAUCAGAGUGACGGUACCCGAAUAGCAAGCCACGGCUAACUACGUG